rnacentral:rRNA from 1 species
CAUGCAGGCGGUUUAUCAAGUAGGAUGUGAAAGCCCCGGGCUCAACCUGGGAAUUGCAUUCUAAACUGAUAGACUAGAGUAUUGCAGGGGGAGACGGAAUUCCAGGUGUAGCGGUGGAAUGCGUAGAUAUCUGGAAGAACACCAAAGGCGAAGGCAGUCUCCUGGGCAAAUACUGACGCUCAUAUGCGAAAGCGUGGGUAGCAAACA